AAUGGGGUAUUUUAUUAAAGAAUAUUAAGUUUGCGUCUUAGUGGAGGGAUUUAUCCCCCCUAUUA
rnacentral:tRNA from 1 species